rnacentral:rRNA from 1 species
CCCUUAGAUGUUCUGGGCCGCACGCGCGCUACACUGAUGCAUUCAACAAGCCUAGCCUUGACCGAGAGGUCCGGGUAAUCUUUGAAACUGCAUCGUGAUGGGGCUAGAUUAUUGCAAUUAUUAAUCUUCAACGAGGAAUGCCUAGUAAGCGUGAUUCAUCAAAUCGCGUUGAUUACGUCCCUGCCCUUUGUACACACCGCCCGUCGCUCCUACCGAUUGAAUGGUUUAGUGAGAUCCUUGGAUCGGCCCUGUCGCGGCUGGCAACGGCCGCGUCGGCGCGUCGAGAAGACGAUCAAACUUGAUCAUUUAGAGGAAGUAAAAGUCGUAACA